rnacentral:rRNA from 1 species
GCAAGUCGAGCGGACAGAAGGGAGCUUGCUCCCGGAUGUUAGCGGCGGACGGGUGAGUAACACGUGGGUAACCUGCCUGUAAGACUGGGAUAACUCCGGGAAACCGGAGCUAAUACCGGAUAGUUCCUUGAACCGCAUGGUUCAAGGAUGAAAGACGGUUUCGGCUGUCACUUACAGAUGGACCCGCGGCGCAUUAGCUAGUUGGUGAGGUAACGGCUCACCAAGGCGACGAUGCGUAGCCGACCUGAGAGGGUGAUCGGCCACACUGGGACUGAGACACGGCCCAGACUCCUACGGGAGGCAGCAGUAGGGAAUCUUCCGCAAUGGACGAAAGUCUGACGGAGCAACGCCGCGUGAGUGAUGAAGGUUUUCGGAUCGUAAAGCUCUGUUGUUAGGGAAGAACAAGUGCAAGAGUAACUGCUUGCACCUUGACGGUACCUAACCAGAAAGCCACGGCUAACUACGUGCCAGCAGCCGCGGUAAUACGUAGGUGGCAAGCGUUGUCCGGAAUUAUUGGGCGUAAAGGGCUCGCAGGCGGUUUCUUAAGUCUGAUGUGAAAGCCCCCGGCUCAACCGGGGAGGGUCAUUGGAAACUGGGAAACUUGAGUGCAGAAGAGGAGAGUGGAAUUCCACGUGUAGCGGUGAAAUGCGUAGAGAUGUGGAGGAACACCAGUGGCGAAGGCGACUCUCUGGUCUGUAACUGACGCUGAGGAGCGAAAGCGUGGGGAGCGAACAGGAUUAGAUACCCUGGUAGUCCACGCCGUAAACGAUGAGUGCUAAGUGUUAGGGGGUUUCCGCCCCUUAGUGCUGCAGCUAACGCAUUAAGCACUCCGCCUGGGGAGUACGGUCGCAAGACUGAAACUCAAAGGAAUUGACGGGGGCCCGCACAAGCGGUGGAGCAUGUGGUUUAAUUCGAAGCAACGCGAAGAACCUUACCAGGUCUUGACAUCCUCUGACAACCCUAGAGAUAGGGCUUUCCCUUCGGGGACAGAGUGACAGGUGGUGCAUGGUUGUCGUCAGCUCGUGUCGUGAGAUGUUGGGUUAAGUCCCGCAACGAGCGCAACCCUUGAUCUUAGUUGCCAGCAUUCAGUUGGGCACUCUAAGGUGACUGCCGGUGACAAACCGGAGGAAGGUGGGGAUGACGUCAAAUCAUCAUGCCCCUUAUGACCUGGGCUACACACGUGCUACAAUGGACAGAACAAAGGGCUGCGAGACCGCAAGGUUUAGCCAAUCCCACAAAUCUGUUCUCAGUUCGGAUCGCAGUCUGCAACUCGACUGCGUGAAGCUGGAAUCGCUAGUAAUCGCGGAUCAGCA